CGGAGGAUCUAAGCGUUAUCCGGAUUUAUUGGGUUUAAAGGGUGCGUAGGCGGCCUGUUAAGUCAGGGGUGAAAGACGGUAGCUCAACUAUCGCAGUGCCCUUGAUACUGAUGGGCUUGAAUGGACUAGAGGUAGGCGGAAUGUGACAAGUAGCGGUGAAAUGCAUAGAUAUGUCACAGAACACCGAUUGCGAAGGCAGCUUACUAUGGUUUUAUUGACGCUGAGGCACGAAAGCGUGGGGAUCAAACAGGAUUAGAUACCCUGGUAGUCCACGCCCUAAACGAUGAAUACUCGCUGUUGGCGAUACACAGUCAGCGGCUAAGCGAAAGCGUUAAGUAUUCCACCUGGGGAGUACGCCCGCAAGGGUG
rnacentral:rRNA from 1 species